AUUGAACGCUGGCGGCAUGCCUUACACAUGCAAGUCGAACGGUAGAGGGGGCAACCCCUUGAGAGUGGCGAACGGGUGAGUAAUGCAUCGGAACGUGCCCAGUUGUGGGGGAUAACACUUCGAAAGAAGUGCUAAUACCGCAUACGACCUGAGGGUGAAAGCGGGGGACUCGCAAGAGCCUCGCGCAAUUGGAGCGGCCGAUGUCAGAUUAGGUAGUUGGUGGGGUAAAAGCCUACCAAGCCGACGAUCUGUAGCUGGUCUGAGAGGACGACCAGCCACACUGGGACUGAGACACGGCCCAGACUCCUACGGGAGGCAGCAGUGGGGAAUUUUGGACAAUGGACGCAAGUCUGAUCCAGCCAUGCCGCGUGCAGGAAGAAGGCCUUCGGGUUGUAAACUGCUUUUGUCAGGGAAGAAAUCCCUUGGGUUAAUACCUCGGGGGGAUGACGGUACCUGAAGAAUAAGCACCGGCUAACUACGUGCCAGCCGCCGCCGUAA
rnacentral:rRNA from 1 species